AGCGAUCCGCCUGGGUAGUACGAGCGCAAGCUUAAAACUCAAAGGAAUAGACGGGGACUUGCACAAGCGGUGGAUUAUGCGGUUCAAUUCGUCGACAAACGAAAAACCUUACCAAGGCUAGAAAUCUAGCUGAAUGCAAGCAGAAACGUUUGCAGUCUCACAAGGACAGCUAGACAGGUGAUGCAUGGCCGUCGUCAGUUCGUGAUUUGAAUUGUUCCCUUAAGUGGGGUAACGAACGCAACCCUUGUUGGUUGUUACAAGUGUCAACCGAGACCACCCAGCACUAAGAUUGGAAAAUGAUUUCGUUUUCUUAUUUUGGUGCUGGGAGGAAGCGAGGAUGACGCCAGGUCAGCAUGUCCCUCUGAUGCCUUGGGCCACACGCAUAAUACAAUCGCCGGUACAACGCGUUGCGACGGGGUAACCCUAAGCUAAUCGUAAUAAGCCGGCGCCAGUUCGGAUUGGGGGCUGCAACUCGACCCCAUGAAGUUGGAAUCGCUAGUAAUCGCGGGUCAGCUAUACCGCGGUGAAUACGUUCUCAAGUCUUGUACUCACCGCCCGUCAAGUCAGGGAAGUUGGGAGGACCCAAAGGCUCGCGCAAGCGGGACUAAGGUAAACUCAAUGACAAAGACUAAGUCGUAACAAGGCACGGGUAGCGGAAGCUGCUCGUGGAA
rnacentral:rRNA from 1 species